GCAGGUGGCUGGGCGAUGACGUCACUGCGUGGUUAAUUACUGCCUCCCCACGGUGUGUACGCGCGCGACUUUCAACACCAACUCUCAGGCCUGGAACACAGUCCGCCCCGCCUACAGCCAGAAGUGAUCUGCAUAACCCCGCCUCCAUUCCCCUGAGGUUCUGACAUGAUCCUGACUGCUCCGUACUCCACACUGAGAACACCGGAGGGUCCCUCUGCAGGAAGUAGACUCCGGUUUGGGACACGCCCUUCCCGACUCACACUUACUGCAGGAAGUAAAAGCAGAGGUGAAGAUCACAGACGAGGCAAAACACAGUGAGAGAGACAGGAAGUGAGGGGUGAGACGAGCAGGAGCGCGCCGUCACUAAGAAGUGCCGAGGCUCAGGAUCCCUGAACAUGGAGGAGGAAGCCUUCAGACACUUCUUUCCGGGAGGUAAAUCAGGGAAGGAGGGAAAGAGAAUGAACACUUGCGCACUUCAUGUGCACUUCAGGACGAGACGCAGAACCUCAGAGCGCCGCUUUUCACUUCA